CAGUAGCCACGGGAAUACGAAGGGGGCUAGCGUUGUUCGGAAUUACUGGGCGUAAAGGGCGCGUAGGCGGCCAUUCAAGUUAGAUGUGAAAGCCCUGGGCUCAACCUAGGAAUUGCAUUUGAUACUGUUUGGCUUGAGUUCGGGAGAGGUGAGUGGAAUUCCCAGUGUAGAGGUGAAAUUCGUAGAUAUUCGGAAGAACACCAGUGGCGAAGGCGGCUCACUGGACGACUGUUGACGCUGAGGUGCGAAAGCGUGGGGAGCAAACAGGAUUAGAUACCCGUGUAGUCCCUGUCUCUUAUAC
rnacentral:rRNA from 1 species